AUUGAACGCUGGCGGCAUGCCUUACACAUGCAAGUCGAACGGCAGCACGGGAGCAAUCCUGGUGGCGAGUGGCGAACGGGUGAGUAAUAUAUCGGAACGUGCCCGGUCGUGGGGGAUAACGUAGCGAAAGCUACGCUAAUACCGCAUACGAUCUACGGAUGAAAGCGGGGGAUCGCAAGACCUCGCGCGAUUGGAGCGGCCGAUAUCAGAUUAGGUAGUUGGUGAGGUAAAGGCUCACCAAGCCGACGAUCUGUAGCUGGUCUGAGAGGACGACCAGCCACACUGGGACUGAGACACGGCCCAGACUCCUACGGGAGGCAGCAGUGGGGAAUUUUGGACAAUGGGCGCAAGCCUGAUCCAGCAAUGCCGCGUGCAGGAUGAAGGCCUCGGUUGUAACUAGCUUUGUUACGG
rnacentral:rRNA from 1 species